ensembl:lncRNA
CACAACACACACAGCAGACAGAAACAAGCUGUAAUUACAAAGAUUAUCCACUGUCAGCUCUCUCUCUCUCUCUCUUUCGCUGUGGCUGUUUGGUUUCAGCUCUUUUAAUGAAAAUGUAAACAUUCAUCACUCAAAUCACAAAAACAUUCAACUGUGUUGUUAAUUUUAGGAAAGGUACCUGUGUGACAUUAAGGCAUUAUAUGAGUUAAGCUUCUCAUUCCAUUUACGUGACCUGUCAAUAUUUGCUUAGAAACAUUCACAACAACUGUAAUUGAUGUAAUUGAUGCAAAAUCCACCUGAAGCUGUCUGUCUGUGUCAGCGGUGACAGAAUGUCUCUCUCUCUGUCAGACAGUCAUGAUGCUUGUGUGUGUCUGCUCUUUAAAUUCAGCUGCACAGACGCAGAUGCUCACAUCUGCAGGACCCAGCGCUCUGACAGCCUGCCGCUGAUUUUUCACUGAGAGAUCAGACAGAGCCAUGUCGUACUUCUACAGAUCUGAGCAAACGGCGAGACUUCUCCUGAUGAUGUGUGUGUGGGGAAUCUUCCCUCUGCCAGCAGAGCAGUACCCUGUUCGAGAGGGUUUCAGUCUGCUGCUGUAUCCGUUGUCGGUGAUGGGGCCAUACGGAUCUCACACGGUUCUGAUACCAGUGACCGGGACUGAGCAGAACACACAACGCAGCCAAAAUCCGCAGGCAAACAACAGCAAGAUCAGCGCUCAAAGUGUGUCCAAGCUUUUACAUGCAAACAGUGCAUUUCCCCAGCCGGACCCUGGCCAUGGCCCUGCCCUGGACUCUGCUCCCAGCCCCGCUCCUGACCUUCACACAGUCCCAUCGGAGUCUUUGGUUAUGCGGGGGCAGAUAUCAAAUUUCGUCCCUUCAAACGUCCCUCUGCAGGUCUAUUCAUUUGUCCAGCAGGCUGUAAUUUUAGACUCAGGCAGUUCAGAGGAAGGAGCUGCUGCUCAAGUGAUUUAUAUGGUUCCUAUCAGCGUGGAUUCACCCAACGUGAGUGUAAUGGAGGGCACCGUGCCCAAUCCUGACCCAGGACACCUGCAGAUCCCAGCCAGCACCCCUGCUGUGGCCACUGCGGCACAACCGGACGCUCAGGGACAGCUGGGGAAAACUGUGGGGACAGAAAGAGCCACGCAGACACGCUCUGGGAGUGAAAGGCCUCUGACCACAAGCACUCCACAGGAAACACAUCAGCUGUCAAGAAAAUGAAAGGCCAUUCACUGAUGCUUGGAAACUGUUGUGUGCGGAAUUGUAAAAUAACUUCAGCCAUAAAACAGCUCUAUAGUCAAUGUGUUGUCAUUAUUCAGUGAGCUCAUUUAUUAGUUUCAGCUGAUCAUAGCUUAAUCUAUACAAUGAAUAUUAGUUUUCUUUUAAGCCCCAGAUCAUGUCAUAUUAAAUUCUCUUUACUGUGACUGUAGUUCAGAAGUGCUCCCAACAAUCAUCAACGUUUAAAUCCAACUCUCCUUUUAGACUUUAUACUUUGGAUAUGAAAAAGAGGCAAGUUACAAAGAAACACUGAGGUUUUAAUUUAUUUAAGGCAACAGAGGAGGUGAAUUCUGUCUGAUUACACAACGAGACGCUACCAGAUAAACAAGACAAAUGAUUGUGCUUAUCAUGUUUGUGUUAUUUGCCUUCGAAUAACACUGGAGUGCGAUUGAACUGCUGAUUGUCGUUUUUGGGAUGUGAGUUACUGUGAGAACUUGGCAUUUCCUCCUGGUGUGUGUGACCUUUGACCUCAGUAUCAUUUCCAUUCAGCGGAUUCGUUUAUUUACAUUAAAGUCUGGUGCCGUCCUUUAUUUGUGUGUUUAUCUAUUGAUAAUGGUUUGUUCCUGUAGUAAAUAACCUAGAAAUUUUCAUCUCUUCUAUUAUUGUGGGUAAAAGUAGUGAACUUAAUGAGACAUGAGUGGAUUUUGUCCUCUGUGACACAAAGUUCUUUAAUAUUCUAACUCUUAUUUAUUUAUCUUUACAUUCUAUAAGUGAAGUGUUUGUUCUAUAGCAAUACAG